rnacentral:rRNA from 1 species
GAUGAACGCUGGCGGCGUGCCUAAUACAUGCAAGUCGAGCGGUAAGGCUUCAACAGUUUAUUUGACCAGAUAAGUUCUGCUAAUAAGCGGAAUACUGUCUGCAGCGAGGUUCUCCGGCUGGAGAACUAAGGUCGAAUGAAGUGUUGAAGUACACGAGCGGCGGACGGCUGAGUAACGCGUAGGAACGUACCCCAUAGUGAGGGAUAAGCACCGGAAACGGUGUCUAAUACCGCAUAAUCUCUUCGGAGCAAAGCCUUGUGCGCUUUGGGAGCGGCCUGCGUAUGAUUAGCUUGUUGGUGAGGUAAAAGCUCACCAAGGCGACGAUCAUUAGCUGGUCUGAGAGGAUGAUCAGCCAGACUGGGACUGAGACACGGCCCAGACU